rnacentral:rRNA from 1 species
UGAGUAACCUGCCCUUAACUCUGGGAUAAGCCUGGGAAACUGGGUCUAAUACCGGAUAUGACUCCUCAUCGCAUGGUGGGGGGUGGAAAGCUUUAUUGUGGUUUUGGAUGGACUCGCGGCCUAUCAGCUAGUUGGUGUGGGUAAUGGCCCACCAAGGCGACGACGGGUAGCCGGCCUGAGAGGGUGACCGGCCACACUGGGACUGAGAUACGGCCCAGACUCCUACGGGAGGCAG